rnacentral:RNase_P_RNA from 1 species
GUGAGCCAGACGAUCGCUGCUGUGGAGAUCUUCGUGAUUGAAACAGGGGAGGAAAGUCCGGGCUUCGCAGGGCAAGGUGCCAGGUAACGCCUGGGCGGUGUGAGCCGACGGAAAGUGCAGCAGAGAGUAGACCGCCUCAUUUUUUGAGGUAAGGGUGAAAGGGUGUGGUAAGAGCACACCGCAUGACUGGUAACAGUUCAUGGCAUGGUAAACCCCACCAGAAGCAAGACCAAAUAGGAAUCCGUUAGGCAUGGCCCAUGUUGGAUUCGGGUAGGUCGCUUGAGCGUAUAAGUGAUUAUGCGCCUAGAGGAAUGAUCGUUCUAGACAGAACCCGGCUUAUCGGCUCACUUU